GGCAGCAACACAUAUCCAAAUGGAAACUUCGACGAAUCAAGUGGAGGGCAUUUCCUAUGUGAGCAUCAAUUGGAAACAAGCUAGCCGGUCCUAAGUGGCGGCUUAACUGCGGGAACUUUGGGGCUUUUCUACCCUCUUGGACCCUCAGGGAACCAGGUCAAUAUUCCUGAACGAGGCAGUGGACGGUGCACGGCGUCAUGAGAGAACUCUUCCACGCAGGCGGGUGUCCAGGGACGCGUUGGCCUUGCUUUUUAACUGCCUCUCCGGAAACGUGUCUUUGAAUCAGAUUAUCUGGAGGUGAGGUUGAGUGCUCGUAAAGCUUUCUGCCCUCCAGGGAGUCCGCUAAGCUCCUGGCUGCCCUGGAAAAAAGAGGGAGAAUCCUUGUAUUUCGAGGCCCAGGCCGUAUGCCUAACCGCAUCAGGUCUCCGCGCGUAGAAGCCUC
rnacentral:ncRNA from 1 species